AGAGUUUGAUCCUGGCUCAGGAUGAACGCUGGCGGUCUGCUUAACACAUGCAAGUCGAACGGGAUCCUUCGGGAUUUAGUGGCGGACGGGUGAGUAACGCGUGAGAAUCUGCCCUUAGGUUGGGGACAACAGUUGGAAACGACUGCUAAUACCCAAUGUGCCGAGAGGUGAAAGGUUAACUGCCUGGGGAUGAGCUCGCGUCUGAUUAGCUAGUUGGAGUGGUAACGGCACACCAAGGCGACGAUCAGUAGCUGGUCUGAGAGGAUGAUCAGCCACACUGGGACUGAGACACGGCCCAGACUCCUACGGGAGGCAGCAGUGGGGAAAUUUCCGCAAUGGGCGAAAGCCUGACGGAGCAAGACCGCGUGAGGGAGGAAGGCCUAUUGGUUGUAAACCUCUUUUGAUAGGGAAGAACACAAUGACGGUACCUAUCGAAUCAGCAUCGGCUAACUCCGUGCCAGCAGCCGCGGUAAUACGGAGGAUGCAAGCGUUAUCCGGAUUUAUUGGGCGUAAAGCGUCCGUAGGUGGCAAACCAAGUCAGUUGUUAAAGCGUAGAGCUUAACUCUAUAAGGGCAAUUGAAACUGGUUAGCUAGAGUGCGAUAGGGGCAAGGGGAAUUCCCAGUGUAGCGGUGAAAUGCGUAGAUAUUGGGAAGAACAUCGGUGGCGAAGGCGCCUUGCUGGGUCUGCACUGACACUGAGGGACGAAAGCUAGGGGAGCGAAAGGGAUUAGAUACCCCUGUAGUCCUAGCCGUAAACGAU
rnacentral:rRNA from 1 species